UGCCCGCCCAUUUUUUGACCAAAAACUAAAUCUCGCCCUUUUCACAAAACCCUUUUUCACACUCUCGUAUUCUUAAACACUGAGAAUUCGACUUUCGUCCUCUCAAACCCAGUCCUCUGACCUCUCUCUCAGUCCCCUACUCCCCUUGAUACAAAAAUCAAAACACAGUGACCUGGUCUCAACGGUGGACGACGGCAGCACGGCGGGCGGAAGCUUUAUCGCUUCUCUAUCUCCUCGAACAAUGGUCUUGGCCUUUCCACAUCACUCGAGAUCUCGGUCUCUCUCUCAAGUCUCAAUCUCUCCUCGACGGCAUCGACCCUCUCCUUCUCUCCUCGACGAUCGAAGGUCUUUUUAAUCGUCGUAAGUCGACAGCUCUAAUCGAAAGCAAAGAAAUGGAGCAGAUCCAAUUCAAUCCUGGAGGUCUUUCUUUUAUCUUUUAUCCUUUCUUCUCUUUCGAUUCAUAUAUCAUUUAAUUUGUAUGUUAUGCUGCAAUUUGCGAAUACCCAAAACCAGAAAUUGGUCCAGCCUUCCAUCCUCAAGAGAGGAACUACUCAAUAAGGUAGGACAAAGGCUUUAUGUGCCUCCUGAGCUGGAAACGAUAAUUCUUUGUCCGUCUGUCUCUGUGCGACUGUUGUUUGUUUUAUUUCUGGUAUCUUUGAUCCUCUGCUGUUAGGUCUUGUUCUUCCUUUCAUAUUUGCCUUCUUGCACUUCUCUGCAAAUCUUCAUAAAUAAGCGGAUUGACCAUCAAAUUUCCGCCCACUUUUAGCCCUCUGGGUCAAUCACGCAAUCUCAAUCACGCCCUCUGGCUAAAGAGGCCUGAAAAUUAUAAAGAUUUAACAUUCAUUAUGUGAUAUACUCUCUCCCAACGCUCUUCACUAACAAAGUUUAGGGGUUUUUGAACUUCCAGUGUGUCGUUAUCACUAGUUUGGUGUUGAACAUCAAGAUGGGAGCUUGUGCGUCCAAGGAAGUUUGCGGACAAUUGUUGGACAAUAGUUCAAUUUCGAUGAUUAAAAUAUUGCUCCAACAAAAUAUAGGGGUUCAUUGGGAAGAAAAUGUGAUUUUGAUAUAAUGUAAAUGGAAUGGGAAGAAAAUGUGAUUUUGAUAUAAUGUAAAUGGAAUGCUGUAGGGCACUACGAAAAGUCUGAAUCAUUGACUAAAAGCAUCAACAAAUCAGAGAGAGAACAUGACCUUGUAAUUGCUAUUUGGUCAAGAACCUUGGUACCAUUGCAAGGUCUGGCACCAAGAAAUUCAUGGAAGCCUUGGCAGCGUGGCUGCUGGACCUGUUUUUAGCAUGAUUGGUCAGUUUGGUGUUGGAUUCUACUUUGCAUAUUUUGUUGUUAAGAAGGAAGAGGAAAUUGAUGAAGAGAAGGAAGUGGUCAUGUUUCUGGCCUUGAUAUUUUUGACCUUUAUGUUUAGGCAGGGUUAGUAUGUUCAUGUUGGGAUGAUGAUGGAAUGAAUUGGUUUUGGAUAUUUAGUCAAUUAAUGGAUAUGUUUUUGGAUGUAUUGAUCAAUUAGUUUUGGUUAGAUUUCAUAUGCAGAAUGUAUGUAUUGACUCUCUCAUACCAUUUCAUUCCAAAUACAAACUGUUGUCUAA